rnacentral:rRNA from 1 species
AUACGUAGGGGGCGAGCGUUGUCCGGAAUGAUUGGGCGUAAAGGGCGCGUAGGCGGCCCGGUAAGUCUGGAGUGAAAGUCCUGUUUUUAAGAUGGGAAUUGCUUUGGAUACUGUCGGGCUUGAGUGCAGGAGAGGUAAGUGGAAUUCCCAGUGUAGCGGUGAAAUGCGUAGAGAUUGGGAGGAACACCAGUGGCGAAGGCGACUUACUGGACUGUACCUGACGCUGAGGCUCGAAAGUGUGGGGAGCACACAGGAUUAGAUACCCUGGUAGUCCACACUAUAACCGGUGAAUGCUAAGUGUAGGGGGUAUACCCCCCUUCUGUGCCGCAGGCAACGCAAUAAGCAUUCCGCCUGGGGAGUAAGGCCGCAAGGUUGAAACUCAAAGGAAUUGACGGGG